rnacentral:rRNA from 1 species
UACGGAGGGUGCGAGCGUUGUCCGGAAUCACUGGGCGUAAAGGGCGCGUAGGUGGCGCGGGCAGUCAACGGUGAAAGUUCGGGGCUCAACCCUGAAUCGGCCGUCGAUACUCCCGGGCUUGAGCACUGUAGAGGCAGAUGGAAUUCCGGGUGUAGCGGUGGAAUGCGUAGAGAUCCGGAAGAACACCGGUGGCGAAGGCGGUCUGCUGGGGUCGAACUGGACGCUGAGGCGCGACAGCGUGGGGGAGCAAACAGG